rnacentral:tRNA from 1 species
GGAUUGUGGCUUAGUGGUACAGCGCCUGCCUAGCACAUGCGUGGCCCUGGGUUCGAUCCUCAGCACCA